rnacentral:rRNA from 1 species
AUUGAACGCUGGCGGCAGGCCUAACACAUGCAAGUCGAACGGUAGCACAGAGAGCUUGCUCUCGGGUGACGAGUGGCGGACGGGUGAGUAAUGUCUGGGAAACUGCCCGAUGGAGGGGGAUAACUACUGGAAACGGUAGCUAAUACCGCAUAACGUCGCAAGACCAAAGUGGGGGACCUUCGGGCCUCACACCAUCGGAUGUGCCCAGAUGGGAUUAGCUAGUAGGUGGGGUAAUGGCUCACCUAGGCGACGAUCCCUAGCUGGUCUGAGAGGAGGACCAGCCACACUGGAACUGGGACAAGGUCCAGACUCCUACGGGAGGCAGCAGUGGGGAAUAUUGCACAAUGGGCGCAAGCCUGAUGCAGCCAUGCCGCGUGUAUGAAGAAGGCCUUCGGGUUGUAAAGUACUUUCAGCGGGGAGGAAGGCGGUGAAGUUAAUAACUUCACCGAUUGACGUUACCCGCAGAAGAAGCACCGGCUAACUCCGUGCCAGCCGCCACAGUAA